rnacentral:rRNA from 1 species
AAUACAUCGGAAUCUGCCUUAUCGUGGGGGAUAACGUAGGGAAACUUACGCUAAUACCGCAUACGACCUACGGGUGAAAGCGGAGGACCUUCGGGCUUCGCGCGAUAAGAUGAGCCGAUGUCGGAUUAGCUAGUUGGCGGGGUAAAGGCCCACCAAGGCGACGAUCCGUAGCUGGUCUGAGAGGAUGAUCAGCCACACUGGAACUGAGACACGGUCCAGACUCCUACGGGAGGCAGCAGUGGGGAAUAUUGGACAAUGGGCGCAAGCCUGAUCCAGCCAUGCCGCGUGGGUGAAGAAGGCCUUCGGGUUGUAAAGCCCUUUUGUCCGGAAAGAAAAGCACUGGGUUAAUACCCUGGUGUUCUGACGGUACCGGAAGAAUAAGCACCGGCUAACUUCGUGCCAGCAGCCGCGGUAAUACGAAGGGUGCAAGCGUUACUCGGAAUUACUGGGCGUAAAGCGUGCGUAGGUGGUUCGUUAAGUCUGAUGUGAAAGCCCUGGGCUCAACCUGGGAAUUGCAUUGGAUACUGGCGGGCUAGAGUGCGGUAGAGGAUGGCGGAAUUCCCGGUGUAGCAGUGAAAUGCGUAGAGAUCGGGAGG